rnacentral:tRNA from 1 species
UGGGGUAGGCCUCAGUGAUAGAGUAUGUGCUUAGCAUGCACGAGAUCCUGGGUUCAAUUCUCAGUACCUCCA